AUAAGUGAAGAACAGGAAUAUUCCGGUUUUUCCAGGUUGCCUGAAAAAAUGUAGUCACGUAGUUUUCUUAGACGGUGAACAAGCUGUAUUACAAAGAGCAAAAGGUUUUUUCUUUUGGAGAUACACCGAAAUAUUAAAGAAAUAUUCAGAGAGCGAGACAACAUUGGUUGUGAUGGCUGAACGUUUUUUCCUGCUACUAGUCACCCAUGAGGCACGGAGCAGCCGCGUGAGCACAUUUUGACCAGAGGUCAGGUCCUUUUAGCGGGAACCUAAACUUCCUGGAGCUGCAUUCGAAUAUCGUUGGAUGUCGAUGCUGGAACUGGCGUGAACAGGAAGUUGGGGGAGGUACUCAAUGGAAGGGUAAAUACCAGUGACCUCAGCAGACCAGCUAAUCAUCCACAUCCCACCAGUUUGCAAGUGGACCAACCUUUGUGAAGAACUUGUGGCCACGGAUAUUCUGCGGUGACGGGCGAUCCCGUGGGUCGAUUUGAAAUAUUUUGCCCAUCAGUUUCCCAGCUUCAAUACCGAGGUUCUGGGGUAGAAUAAAUUUAGCUUC